GCAUGUUUGGCAGCUACAGCAGCUUGAUAAUUAAUUAGUUCUCAUCCAAGGUGAUUUACUUCUCCCCUUUCUUUUCCAAGAGGCAAAUAAUUGUCUGCUAAUUAGCAGCUUGGUUAUUUUCUAUCUCAAUUGUGAUUGUCAUCUUUGCCCUGCUGCUUAGUUCUGCUCCCUGCUGUGACUAUAUUUUGCGAGGCACUAAUAAGCAACAAUUGCACAAGGUCUAUGCCAGAACUAUCUUAGAUUAGGCACUAUUUCUUUUGUACUUGUCUAGCAUUUGAAGAGUCCAUAUGUGAGUGGAUCUCCUUUUGCUUUGUCAUGCUACUGAAUGUCUGAACCCAUUUUUUGGGAAUAAUAAUAUAUAUGACAAGAAACCAUUUAUUCUCUCUCUGUCAAUAUUGAUAUGAGCUGUGCAUAUUUUUGGUUGUCAGUGAUAUAUGAUUUGUAAUUUCUAAUUGAUCCGUUCAAUUAUUUGAGAUAUCAUCAGUACAAAGCAUAUGUUCUAAACAAGAGCUCUUUUACAGUGAUUGUAGAGUUACGAUUUGUAAUUUCAUGUAACUCCAACUCUGAAUUUUUCUGGCCAUUGGAUCUCGAAAAAUCAUUUAAAGAAUUAUUUUUUCUCUAAAAGGGUAUAAUAGUAACCGAAUCUCUCGUCCGUUUCCGUUCCAAUUCUCCUCGCAUAGCCGCCGCCGCACAUCCCGCUCGUAGAUGGCUAGGCGGUGCGCUGUUCGGAUCAUCCCCGCGCGGCGGACCCGAUCCAAGCGAGAAGCAGCAAUCCGGUAUCUUGGUGUCGCUCCUGCCGUCAAUGUUCCGGCCGGCCGGCAGUACUGCAGGUCGUACAUCGCGGCACCGAAGCCUCGGCUAGUCGGCUGCCCCACCGCCCCCAACCUGCCAGGAUCUCUCUCCACCGUACGUCGGAUACCCUACUGCCUGAGUCAGCGCCGCCGGCGACCUUCCCUCCCACUACAGGUAACUUGCAUACGUGUUGUACUAGCUCUUCUGAUCCUCAUGUUUGCGCGACGGCUGUCCCAUGGUGUGAUUGCCACUCAACAACGCCCAACCAGCUGUUAGUUCAGAGGAAUACACUUGCCUGUACGCUCUAGUAGUACAACUCUGUUUUUUUGCCUGUUCACAAAUCUGAACAUAUUAUGUUCAUGCUUACUGUGGUGAACUGGUGAUUAGCAUACUCAUGUCUUUUCCCACGAAAAAAAGAAUACUCAUGUAUUGGGUUGUGCUCACAAUUAAGCUCUCCCCUGCGACAUGAUGAAGAUGUAUGGUUUAUGCCCUGGGGGAUGUUUGAUAAAAUGUAAUCCUCUUUAGUUCAGAUAUAUUGAUUUCAGCACCUGAUUAGGGCGAUUUACCAGUUGUAUGAAUUGUUGGCAUGCAUGAUUAGAGUAGCUGUGAGAGUCCAAAUCUGAAAUCUAGCUUGCUUUAUGACGGAAAAUUAAAUAAGUAUACUGAGAGCAAGCUUAUGACUUCUCUAGAUCAUGGAAACAUCUACUUAGCAUAAUCACCUAGUCCUUGGGGUGCUUUCGUUGGUGGUGUGGUGUGAAAGUUAUUAUCGGCAUGCGCUGCGUCGCUUGUGAGGCCUUUUCGGGCAUGUAUCGAACCUAUUUGCUUUUGUUCCCAAUCUUUAACCUCUGGAAUUUGCCGAAUUUUCUUUUUGUUUGUUAGGUUGAAGAGCUAUUGUUUCAGUUCGUCCAUGACCCUUAUGGGGCUGUGGGGGAUGUUGCACUCAGAGAACUUGUUUCUUGCAGUAGUAGGAUGAACUGGAUCAGAUAUUGGAAGUGGUACUGUCACAUAUCCUGGCAUCUGCUCAGGUAUGACUGGUUUUGAAUUUGGGACCUUAUACUUUAUGAAUUGUAAUAUGUAUUCUGAUAUAACUGUUAUAUUUAAGCGUUGUCAUUUGCCCCAUACUGAUUAAAAACGACAACAAACGACAGUUCUAAUUAUGUUUUCGCAUGUCCACAAUUCAAGUUAAUCAACCUUGGUGAAACUUGAACAUGUAGCUUCCAACCAGCUUAAGGAAAAGGUGUGCUGCCAAUUUCCCGAGCCUUAUUCUAAUCCAUAAUUUUCACUCAAAUCACUUGAUUCAUAUUCGUAAUUUAGUGCCCAUAUAUUUUAUUUUCUGUUAUCACUGAAACUGUGUGUGUUCGCCCUCUGAAAAAAUUUACUGGUCCAUAUCCAUGAUAUCUUGGUACAUGAUGUUGUUAUCCAAAACAAGACAGAAGAUAUUUGCAUUAGUAAAUUUAUAGUUCUAGCUGAUGGAUUGUCCAAAGGAGAAAAAUUUAGUUUAAAUAACAACACUUAUGUGGAUGUUUCUUAUUGGCUAGUUUUGACAUGGAGAGCUACAUCUGAUUUUUCCUACUUGUAUUUCUAUUCCAUUAUACUUUUCAGGAGCACGUGAAGCUCGCAUGUCAUUGUACUAAGAACUAUAUUUCACAUAACUAUACUAACUUGACGCAAUUUCAGCCUGCAGCAUGGCACAUGAGUCUUCGACAUCAUUGAGGAUUUCUGCAUCGGCAAAUUGGAAGACUGAUGUGGAAUAGGAGAGGAUGUAAAAGCUCCCAAGUGUGAACCCAUGUGCUCGUCUGCAUUUCCUUGAAGAUGAUGAGAACGAACAAAACCAUUUCGUAAUUGUGAUGAGGACUGCUCCAGGGCCCAGCUUUGUGGUUCCGAUCACAUGUUUGACCUCCUGCUUACUCUGGUACAUGGUCUCCAUCCACCCAUCGUCAACAUAUGGCCUCGCCGGAUCGCCAGACAACACCGUCAUCUACGUCUGUCUCGCGUGACAGGCACUGUCCUCGACCUCUGCGUCACAGUUAAUUGUGUACUAGUAAUUCCUUUGGGGAACUUGUUACAGUUAUUCUAACUCCGCCAUGUAUCCAUGAACUUGUUAGAUUCUGAAUAUGUAAUUUUCCAGACAGUCGGGUAGCAUUCAAGUGCUCCGUAUGCGCCAACACUCUCAAAAUUCACUUCCUUUUCUGCUCUUUUGCUCCCUGAGACACAACUCUGACUGACUUAUUCAUGUCUUAGAG
rnacentral:lncRNA from 1 species